GUGCAUUUCUUCAAUGUUAUUGUAAUAGUAAAUAUCUACUCCAAUUGUUGUUUUUUAAUGCAUUUCAGGUGGACAGGUUUUUCAAUGAUAUGCCUACCACAUCGCAUAUGAGUAAUGCAGGGCUGCCCAUUUUUGGAGGAAAUGGUUACUAUAAGCGUAGAUGGUUCUAUA